GAUGAACGCUGGCGGCGUGCUUAACACAUGCAAGUCGAACGAUGAAGCCCAGCCUGCUGGGCGGAUUAGUGGCGAACGGGUGAGUAACACGUGAGUAACCUGCCCUUGACUCUGGGAUAAGCCCGGGAAACUGGGUCUAAUACCGGAUAGGAGCGCCUGUCGCAUGACGGGUGCUGGAAAGAUUUUUCGGUCAUGGAUGGACUCGCGGCCUAUCAGCUUGUUGGUGAGGUAACGGCUCACCAAGGCGACGACGGGUAGCCGGCCUGAGAGGGUGACCGGCCACACUGGGACUGAGACACGGCCCAGACUCCUACGGGAGGCAGCAGUGGGGAAUAUUGCACAAUGGGCGGAAGCCUGAUGCAGCGACGCCGCGUGAGGGAUGACGGGCCUUCGGGUUGUAAACCUUCUUUCAGUAAGGGAAAGAA
rnacentral:rRNA from 1 species